AUGAGGUGUACCAUGCAAAGCCGGCACCUCCAGUUGAGGCAUCUAGCAGCGUUGCUUAAUAUUCAACAACACCCCCCAGCGGACGUCGCCAAAGGGAAAACGAUUAUGUCCUACGGAGGAAGACGAGGAAACAGCCCACAUGAACUGGCGGCCUCGCAAGGGCGCCCUCCGGAGCGAUGGAGCAAACCAUCGGUGGGAUGGGUCAAGCUGAACAUCGACGGGUCAUGGAGUGGUGAGGAUGGCACAGGAGGUGCCGGAAUGGUGCUCCGGGAUCACACUGGAUCCAUUAUCUUCAUGUCCUGCAGGUUUAUCCAAAGGUGUGCGAAUGCCCUAGAGGCUGAAGCUGCAGCUCUCAUGGAGGGGGUUGACCUCGCUCUUGCACGGAGUUCAGAGAACCUUGUUGUGGAGUCGGACUGCGCUAUGCUAGUUCGCAUGUUUAAGGAACCUGAGGCGAACAGAUCGCAGAUAGCAGCAAUGCUUGCGAGUACUAAGAAGCAGCUGGCCUCAUGA
rnacentral:rRNA from 1 species